rnacentral:rRNA from 1 species
AUUGAACGCUGGCGGCAGGCCUAACACAUGCAAGUCGAACGAGUGGCGGACGGGUGAGUAAUGUCUGGGAAACUGCCCGAUGGAGGGGGGUAACUACUGGAAAAGGUAGCUAAUACCGCAUACCAUCGGAUGUGCCCAUAUGGGAUUAGCUAGUAGGUGGGGUAACGGCUCACCUAGGCGACGAUCCCUAGCUGGUCUGAGAGGCUAACCAGCCAAACGGGAACUGAGACACGGUCCAGACUCCGACGGGAGGCAGCAGUGGGGAAUAUUGCACAAUGGGCGAAAGCCUGAUGCAGCCAGGCCGCGUGGAUGAAGAAGGCCUUCGGGUUGAAAAGUACUUUCAGCGAGGAGGCGUUACUCGCAGAAGAAGCACCGGCUAACUCCGUGCCAGCAGCCGCGGUAAUAC